CUAAGGCAAAAAGAUGCUCCAAAAGUUUUUAAACCAGUGCUUAACAACAUUGGUGCUUGGCAAAUGGAGGCAAGAAGGCUUUCCAGACAAAAUCUUUUCCUCCAUGGCCUGCCUAGGGGGCAGACAGAAGAGAUUCAGUCAUGUCUGGGCCUCCAUUCAGCAAGUUGAAGCAAGAAAGAAUAGAUGGCACAGCUGGACUUUUUAAAGUGUUAGCCCUAACACUAAACUGUCUUGGAUCUGUACUGAUUUUAGCAGAUGAUCUUAUAUAGGCAGAUUCAUAUAGGAGCAGACCAUCCUUGAGAUUCUCCAGAAUCCUAAACUGCUUAAAACACCACCUUCAGUUGUUCCCAGAAAGAAACCACUACAACUGGCACUUUAAAGAUCUUCAUAAAUCCUGGUGAAAUAUGCUGACCUUGGCAAUGCCUGGUUAAUAGCCUAAAACCUGUAGGCUAUACUAACAACUUCAUGAAGCCUUCAAAAACCACUCAAAUGUAACAGUUGCUUAGCUGAAAAUGGACAUUGCCAAGGCAUAGAUAACCAGGAAGGAUGCACCAGCUGAAUCUGGCAGAAGGCACAAUAGUAGCCAACAGGGCCAGGUUUUCUUGCUCCCUGCUUUGUUGAGGCAAAGACCAUGAGGUGGCAGGAAAGCCUCUACUGGUGUCUUUCCAUCUAUACAGUGAAAAUAAUUCACUACCCAAAACAGAGAAACAGACCAAUUUUAUUACAAAGCUUUUUCUUCAAAAAAAUGAAAAUAAAAAGUUCUUUUUUUAAAAAAAAACCACAAUAUAUAUAUCUUCCCUGCCCUGCCCCCAAAAGACAAAUACAAUGAUCUUUCAUUUCACCAAUACAAGUAUCGAAGAGCUGCAUGGAUCUUGCAUCCCAGAGACUAAAAAACAGCUAAACCAGAGGCUUAAAAAAAUAAAAACCUUUCUCUCCCUGCCCCCCAACCCACCCCACCCUCUGCCCCAAGAGUGACAUGGCUAAAUUAGCAGCAUCGUUGAGACUGACCCCUUACAGUGGCGCUCUGUGGAAGGAUGCUCCCCCUUCCAAUCCAAUCCCACAACCCACUGAAAAAUUCCACCCCCACCGCUUGCACUUGGCUGGCGUGUGUAACCAAAACCAUCCCUAGAACUUUUCUCCUAGAAUAUGGUGAUAUUUGAGAGGCCUUUUUUAAAAAAAAGAUGCCCUUAUGAAUCACUGGCUAGUUUCUGCACAUGCCAGCUAUAGGUUUUGGAGCAGAUUCUGGGGGUAAGGCCAUGACAGGACAAAAGAGGAUUAGACAAGUGAGCACCAUGUGUGCUAAGUUCACAGUGAGGAGCGUUUGAUGCAGAACAGAGGAACCUCCACUCCUCCUCUGUGGAGAAAAUGCAUAUUCCUCUCCACAGCAUGAGGAGACUUCACAUUGAUAAGCACUUCCACUGACACUUCCGCCAUGCCCUAGAGGACUCCCUGUUCCUUGGAGGUGCUGACUGGAACUACCCCUCCACUCAUUAACUUGCGCCUCUGGGAUGCUGAGGAGCAGCAUCAAUUUGUGGUUACCCAGAACGGAGUCGAUUCUUUCAUGGGUGCUGCUUGAAACUUGAAGCUUCGACCCCCCCCCCGCCACCCACCC